rnacentral:tRNA from 1 species
GCACCGGCUGGCGGACGCGCCGGGCCGCCGGCUGCGGCUCAGCGGCGAGCCGGAGUUCGACUCCGACGGUGCG